rnacentral:miRNA from 1 species
UGUGUGUAUACUGGUGCCUGUGUGUAUACAGGUACAUGUGAGUAUACAGGUGCACGUGUGUAUAUAGGUGCAAAUGUGUAGACAGGUGCACGUGUGUGUGUGUAUACAGGUGCAUGUGU